rnacentral:rRNA from 1 species
UACGUAGGGUGCAAGCGUUGUCCGGAUUUAUUGGGCGUAAAGAGCUCGUAGGUGGCCUGCCGCGUCGGAUGUGAAAACCCGGGGCUCAACCCCGGGCCUGCAUUCGAUACGGGCAGGCUAGAGGAUGGCAGGGGAAACUGGAAUUCCUGGUGUAGCGGUGAAAUGCGCAGAUAUCAGGAGGAACACCGGUGGCGAAGGCGGGUUUCUGGGCCAUUCCUGACACUGAGGAGCGAAAGCGUGGGGAGCAAACAGGAUUAGAAACCCUAGUAGUCC